UACAGAGGGUGCAAGCGUUGUUCGGAAUUAUUGGGCGUAAAGGGCGCGUAGGCGGUGCGGUAAGUCUGCGGUGAAAUCUCCCGGCUCAACUGGGAGGCUGCCGUGGAAACUGCCGUGCUUGAGUGUGGGAGAGGUGAGUGGAAUUCCCGGUGUAGCGGUGAAAUGCGUAGGUAUCGGGAGGAACACCUGUGGCGAAAGCGGCGCACUGGACCAUAACUGACGCUGAGGCGCGAAAGCUAGGGGAGCAAACAGG
rnacentral:rRNA from 1 species